GAUGAACGCUGGCGGCGUGCCUAAUACAUGCAAGUCGAGCGAAUGGAUUAAGAGCUUGCUCUUAUGAAGUUAGCGGCGGACGGGUGAGUAACACGUGGGUAACCUGCCCAUAAGACUGGGAUAACUCCGGGAAACCGGGGCUAAUACCGGAUAACAUUUUGAACCGCAUGGUUCGAAAUUGAAAGGCGGCUUCGGCUGUCACUUAUGGAUUGACCCGCGUGGCAUUAGCCAGUUGGUGCGGUAACGGCUCACCAAGGCAACGAUGCGUAGCCGACCUGAGGGGGUGAUCGGCUGCACUGGGACGGAGGCGCGGCCCAGACUCCUACGGGGGGCAGAAGUAGGGACUCUUCCGCAAUGGACGCAAGUCUGACGGAGCAACGCCGCGUGAGUGAUGAAGGCUUUCGGGUCGUAAAACUCUGUUGUUAGGGAAGAACAAGUGCUAGUUGAAUAAGCUGGCACCUUGACGGUACCUAACCAGAAAGCCACGGCUAACUACGUGCCAGCCGCCGCAGUAA
rnacentral:rRNA from 1 species